GGCUCUGAUUAUGGCUCAGAUUGAACGCUGGCGGGAUGCUUUACACAUGUGCAAGUCGAACGGCAGCACGGACUUCGGUCUGGUGGCGAGUGGCGAACGGGUGAGUAAUGUAUCGGAACGUGCCUAGUAGCGGGGAUAACUACGCGAAAGCGUAGCUAAUACCGCAUACGCCCUUCGGGGGAAAGCGGGGGGACCUUCGGGCCUCGCACUAUUAGAGCGGCCGAUAUCGGAUUAGCUAGUUGGUGGGGUAACGGCUCACCAAGGCGACGAUCCGUAGCUGGUUUGAGGAGGACGACCAGCCACACUGGGACUGAGACACGGCCCAGACUCCUACGCAGGAGGCAGCAGUGGGGAAUUUUGGACAAUGGGGGAAACCCCGAUCCAGCCAUCCCGCGUGUGCGAAGGCCUUCGGGUUGUAAAGCACUUCGGCAGGAAAGAAAACGGUGGCACGGGAUAACACCGUGCAACUGACGGUACCUGCAGAAUAAGCACCGGCUAACUACGUGCCAGCAGCCGCGAUAAUACGGUAGGGUGCAAGCGUUAAUCGGAAUUACUGGGCGUAGCGUGCGCAGGCGGUUCGGAAAGAAAGAUGUGAAAUCCCAGAGCUUAACUUUGGAACUGCAUUUUUAACUACCGAGCUAGAGUGUGUCAGAGGGAGGUGGAAUUCCGCGUGUAGCAGUGAAAUGCGUAGAUAUGCGGAGGAACACCGAUGGCGAAGGCAGCCUCCUGGGAUAACACUGACGCUCAUGCACGAAAGCGUGGGGAGCAAACAGGAUUAGAUACCCUGGUAGUCCACGCCCAAACGAUGUCAACUAGCUGUUGGGGCCUUCGCCUUGGUAGCGCAGCUAACGCGUGAAGUUGACCGCCUGGGGAGUACGGUCGCAAGAUUAAAACUCCAAAGGAAUUGGACGGGGACCCGCACAAGCGGUGGAUGAUGUGGAUUAAUUCGAUGCAACGCGAAAACCUUACCUACCCUUGACAUGUCUGGAAUCCCGAAGAGAUUUGGGAGGUGCCUGCAAGAGAACCGGAACACAGGUGCUGCAUGGCUUGCCGUCAGCUCGUGUCGUGAGAUGCUGGGUUAAGUCCCGCAACGAGCGCAACCCUUUGUCAUUAGUUGCUACGGAAAGGCACUCUAAUGAGACUGCCAGUGACAAACCGGAGGAAGGUGGGGAUGACGUCAAGUCCUCAUGGCCCCUGCGGGGUAGGGCUUCACACGUCAUGGCGGCAACGGUUCGGGACAGAGGGUCGCCAACCCGCAGGGGAGCCAAUCCCAGAAACCCGAUCGUAGUCCGGAUCGCAGUCUGCAACUCGACUGCGUGAAGUCGGAAUCGCUAGUAAUCGCGGAUCAGCAUGUCGCGGUGAAUACGUUCCCGGGUCUUGUACACACCGCCCGUCACACCAUGGGAGUGGGUUUACCAGAAGUAGUUAGCCUAACCGUAAGGAGGGCGAUUACCACGGUAGGAUUCAUGACUGGGGUGAAGUCGUAACAAGGUAG
rnacentral:rRNA from 1 species